CCGUGAUCAAGAAGGCGGUGCCCCCAGGGAGAGGCGCGGGCAUUGCACUGCGCUCGUGCUGACCCCUGCCACUACCCCAAACUGGGGCAGAUGGGGCAUGCAAUUUUUGGUAGUGGG